GGGGGUCUGUGCCCACAGGAAGGCUGUGAGCAUUGUAAGGGAGGGAGAAAUGCCCAGGCCUUCAUUCCGUGCCCUUUGGCAGGGCUGCUACCUGAUGGCUGAAUAAUGGCAUCCAGUGGUUAAUUAUGAUUAAAACCUGUGGCUGCCUCAGCUUUGUGCAUGGGCAGAGGUGUGGGUUCACUGCUAAGGAGGAGGCUCAGCUCUCUGCCCCAAAGUCAGCUCCCGCAGCUCCUGUGCAAUACAAUGCAAUGCAAUUCAGUGCAACCCAAAGCAGUGCAGUAGAACAAAACUCCAGCCCUAACCCAGUGCAAAGCAAUGCAACAGAAUGCAGUGCAACCCCAACCCAGUGCAAAGCAAUGCAAUGGAAUGCAGUGCAGAGGUCGAUUCAUGGCCCUAUCCAUGCCAUGGAUGCCAUAAGGGCAUUACAAUGGAGACAAAGCAAAUCCUCUUGUAGGGAUCUCGGGUGUGCAGCUGUCUUCAUGACCUCAGUGCUCAUUUCACCCCCAGGACACUGUGCCACAUCCCACACUCAGCGCUGGGCAAACUGGGGAGCAGAGCGAGCACCACCCAUGCUGCACAGCAGAGCAUCUGCUGGGAAGAGCUUUAAAAUGAGGUUAAGUCCGCACACCAGCAUCAGAGCUAACUGAGUUAGAGCCCAUCACUGAGCCACAGAUCCACUUCUCCACGAGUUCUGAGCACCCCAGACUCUGUUCUGCUUUGAAUUAACACAGCUCCCGUGGCUCUGCUGCCGUGCAAUGCUUUCCGAGCUGCCCAUCCUCCUCCCACCCCCACGUCUGCACUCAGACCCACACCGGAGGCUUUGCACAGAGCCCCUCUCACUGCACGCAAGGAUAGGGGCGCCCCGGGAGGACCCCAACCACGAGGUGCUCACCCCAUUGUGCCGGCACCCCCUGCAGCACGCAGCCCCAUAAGAACAAAUGGGUCGAACAAAUGCUUCCUCCCGCCCCAAUAACCUCCUUUGGCUCCACGCUGUCGCAGAGCACGGGGAGCAUCACAGGGCUGAGAGAGCACACGGCACCCGUGGGUCAGCGCCCCUUCCCCCCUCAGCCCCAUUACCAAAGCCCCUGAUUGCUUUCUGCCCCAUUAGCACGGCGCUCCCGCAGCUCAGCCCACUGUAACCUCACGCACAUUAUUGCAGCCAUCGUCCAUUUCCCAUCCCCCAAAGCCCCAUCAGCCACCAUCUCCGGCCCCUUCUGCACUUUAUGACCUUUGCUCCUUCGGUGUCGUUUCUCCCUCAGUUUGUUCCUGUCAGCACAUUCCAGGGUUGCUGCACUCUUUGCUUUCUGGGUUAUUGAUCCCUAAAUCCCUCCCAUGGGGGCUUCCCUCUCCUAUUGCCUCAGUACCACUCCAGCUGCUCCAUUCCUGCUUCCUACACACCCCAACACCGCGCUCACAGUCCAUCCAAGCAG
ensembl:lncRNA